UUAACUCAAAUUUGUGUGUAGUUGGAACAUUUGCUUACGUUUUCCGCUAGGGGUUCUGUUCCAACUGCAUACACAUUAGAGUUA
rfam:Bombyx mori DNA, contig: Bm_scaf45_contig24861, strain: p50T/Dazao, build 2, whole genome shotgun sequence.